GUUUAAAUAAUUAGUAUAACCAUACAAAACAAUGGCUACUACAAUAAACAAUAAACUAUUAAAAAUUAUUACUUGUUUUACAAACAUCAGUUAGAUACCUAUUUAUCAUUUAUAAAUAAUUUGAUUAAUUUAUUUUUGAAACUAUAUAAUAAGUUUUUAGAAUAAAUAAUAGACCAUUUACAAAAUAUUUCCACUGAUUUUGAAAAUAAACAAGUCCCCCCUCGGGGAAGAGGAAGAACAAAAAAGAGGUAGUUGAAUGAGGAUGGCUUAUAUAUAUGUAUAUAACAUGAUGUAGAUGAUUGAGGCAAGUGGAAGUUUAGGACGAGAUGGUUGGGAUAAAGGUAAUGAAGAAGAAGACACUGUUUUAAUAUAAUUUAUAGAAUAUGACAAAUGUAAACAAGUUUAUGAGAAAAAUUGUUUUGCAAACAUGUCUAGGUGCUUAAAUUUAAAACCUGUAACAUGGUUUUCUAUUUUAUGUAGGGACCUAUUUAAAAGACAACAAUGACCAAUACCACUGCAAUAUUUUUUAAAUUUGUUUACAUAAUUUAUCUUAAAAAUACGUUAAACCUAACUUACGGGAGCUGAAGUACUCAUAUCAAAUUUAAAACCAAAACCUUAUUUUAUAUAAUGAAAAAAAGAACAUUCAUUUUUAACUAUUUUUUUACAAAACUGAAUUCUCCUGUUUUUAAAAUAUGAGUAUGUUAAAAUCUUCAUAGUGAAAUUCAUUUAAAUUGUGAAUUUUAAUGAAAUACAUUAUAAUAUGGACAUCUAUUUCAUUAAAUAGACAAUUCCUAUAUUUUAUACUUUUAAACUAUCCAAAAAUAUAAUAAUAAAUUACCUAUAUUAUAUUUUUAAUAAAUAAUAUGUAUUAUUUAUAAAUGAGAAAAACCAUAAUUUUCUAUAUCAAUAAUGACAAUAAUAAUUACAAUUAAAUUUUGGUAACUCCCCAUCCAAUUAUAAAACUAAUUUCUCCUAUUGGAUACCAAUUUAUUUCCAGAGUUGUUCAAAAAUAAAAGGUAAAAACUAUUUUCCAAUCAAGUAGAUGUAUGUUUUAAAAAUAACAUAA